rnacentral:tRNA from 1 species
AAAAAUUUAGUUAAAAAAAUAACAUUAACUUGUCAAGUUAAAAUUAUUGGUUAAAAUAAUUUUUA